AUUGAACGCUGGCGGCAUGCCUUACACAUGCAAGUCGAACGGCAGCACGGGAGCAAUCCUGGUGGCGAGUGGCGAACGGGUGAGUAAUGUAUCGGAACGUACCUUUCAGUGGGGAGUAACGUAGCGAAGUUACGCUAAUACCGCAUAUUCUGUGAGCAGGAAAGACAGGGGAGUCGCAAGACCUUGCGCUGAUUGAGCGGCCGAUAUCAGAUUAGCUAGUUGGUGAGGUAAAGGACUCACCAAGGCGACGAUCUGUAGCGGGUCGUGAGAGGAUGAUCCGCCACACUGGAACUGAGACACGGUCCAGACUCCUACGGGAGGCAGCAGUGGGGAAUUUUGGUACAAUGGGCGCAAGCCUGAUCCAGCCAUGCCGCGUGAGUGAAGAAGGCCUUAGGGUUGUAAAGCACUUUCAAUGGGUAAGAAAGUUAGGUCGUUAAUAGCGGCCAGCCCUGACAUUACCUUUAGAAGAAGGACCGGCUAACUCCGUGCCAG
rnacentral:rRNA from 1 species